rnacentral:misc_RNA from 1 species
AUCCAUCAACUCGCUGUAAGGGUCUGAAGAUGCGCUGCAGGGCUCCAAUACUCCCCAAGCAACCACAGCUUCGAGCUGCCCGCCCUUCCCGCUCGCCUCGACUCGCUCCAGUUCCUCCUCCCGAUCUUCAUCAGUUGGACGAACAGGCUCGCGACCGGCAGCUUGCGGCGGACUCGAAGCUGGCGAAAAGAGUUUGCAGUGGUGUGUUUAUUCGGAGCAGCUGCUCACGCAACCGACGCAGGAUCGGCCGGCCCGCUUCGACCUCGACGCACCUUCCUUCUCCCUCGACCUGCCCCUCGCUCGCGCCUCGCCCGGGGCUUUGCGUGCGAACGUGGCCACGUUGCUACUGUAUGAAGCUUCGACCUACUAUUGAGGUGCUCACAGAAACCGAGUGGGUACUUUCGGACCUGGCUCGGUUGUGCUGGUGUUCGCUCCUCUUGCCGCACCGGACAGACAUGCGAUGCGGGUGCGCGCACGGUGCAUAAUCACGCCUCGCGAUACACCUGAAUCUUCGGCGCCCGCAGUCCUCCCGCCUUCUCGCACCCCGUUGCCGUUUGAGGCGUACUCAAGCUCGCCCUGCCCGCAGCACGUACAAGCUCAUCCGCCGAGCGCUUCUUGGAGGUUCCCGUUUGCAGUCCACUUGACGAAGCAGACGACGCAGGCGACCCCGGACCACAACAAGCAGUCGUCGCUCGACAAGGAAUGGACGGCUCGUUCUUCGACUCGAACGGGAUGGGAUCUGAUGCUCGCGACAGGUGUAUCCGGGACGCGAAGGGCCUCGGCAAGGACGGUUACGACCAGACUAGCUUCAACAAGGACAGCAAGAACCGCAACGAGGCGUUCGAGUGUCGCUUUUCUUCUCGCUUUACUCUCGCUGACCAUCCCUCAUCCUCGCACAGGCCUCGCUCAGCGCGGCUACGACGCCUCGGGCGAGUACGUCAUGUCGACGUCACAAGCGGGAGCUAUCGACGCGAAAAGCGGGAGUUAUCGCGCAACAUUCGGGUCGAACCUUUCCUCGACAGUCGUCUCUCCUCACUGCUUUCGCUUCUCCCUUCCUCCCCCUCUUCUCACAUGUGCCGCCCGUUCCAACCGCGGUGCGGGAUCCUCCUUUCUCUCCGUCGUAGCUCUUUGUCGUGCAUUGUUCGUUGGAACGCAGCUUUCGCUCCUCGUCUGGC